rnacentral:rRNA from 1 species
UACGUAGGGGGCAAGCGUUGUCCGGAUUUAUUGGGCGUAAAGAGCGUGUAGGCGGCCAGACAAGUCUGCUGUGAAAACUCGAGGCUCAACCUCGAGCUGUCGGUGGAAACUGUCUGGCUAGAGUCCGGAAGAGGAGAGUGGAAUUCCUGGUGUAGCGGUGAAAUGCGCAGAUAUAGGAAGGAAUACCAGUGGCGAAGGCGGCCUCCUGGAUCGAUACUGACGCUGAGGCGCGAAAGCGUGGGGAGCAAACAGG